rnacentral:lncRNA from 1 species
GGUAAUUCUACCCGUAAAGAGGUAAUUAUACCUAAUAACUGAUUAUAUCGAGACAACUGCAUUAAAGCACUCAAUUUAAAAAAAUAUGCAAAGACUACAGUGAACUGACUGAAGAUGUAAAGCUGCAGGCAAUGGUGAGAAAUGACCAGAGAUGUGGGGAGAAAAUUGGUCACAGGAGAAGGUCUCUGUUUACCCUGCUCCUCCAGCCUGAGUUCCUUUUUUUUCUCCAUUCUGCUUGUUGAACUCCUGCCAAACUCCGAUUUUGACAUCAAAGCCCACCUUGAAUGCUGCUUGUCUCUAAAGCCAUCGCUGGCAUUUCCAGUAGGUAUUGCAGUACUUUGGAUCUCUAUCCUAGCACCUUCCCUGAAUUAGUAUGUGCAUGCUCCACUUCCCUGACUAGAACCAAUACUUCUCAAGGGCCACAGAGCCA